UAGACCAUCUGUCUAUGGUUGCCUUGCCUCAAUCAUAAUUCAUAUAACCAAUCCCUCUUCAUCAUGCUUUUCGGCGCAAGUCGCUAUUUUUAUCACGGUCUUCACUUCAAGACAAUCCUGUAUCACUGGUUAACUGAUCAUACCCUCAGGUAGAUCGGCUAAAGACCAAGACGCGGAGAUCUUUUUUUCAUUACAAGUGCUUAUUUGUUGCCGGAACUGUGGUUAUGAAUCUGCAUUUCGGGGGAAUAAAGUGUAGCGGUAACCAUCACAUUCUGAACACGGAAAGGAGCUCUACGGAGAGGUGCGCUCCACCUCCGGCAGGGAGCUCUCAAUGCAGACUGUGGAGGGCAUGCUGUCCCAGGUGGCAUUGGGCCAGCAGGUCCUGUCGGGUCUGCUGGAGAGUCGGAUCCCGGUGCUGGGCAACAUCAUCUCAGGGGGCGUCUCCUUCAUGGCUUCGUACAGCCUACUGAAGUCUGCCAUCAAGGACCUGCGUGAGGACUCCGAGAGAGUGAUGGACAGAGCUCUGGAUGGGGCAGACGACGCCCGAGAGGACAUUCCGGAUCCAGGAUAUUUUUAUGCGGACUAAGGGAGCCAAAUGUGACCCCGGGGAUUUGGCUGGGUGAUGCUGGGAGGGGAAACCUACAGAGGACUAUGUAUUAAAACUGCAAAUGGAUUGCAGAUUGAAUUAGCCCUGCACAUUGCACACAUAGCACUAUACAAGUACAAUAGUGCUAAGACAAGGCUGCCCAACUGAAACUGAACUGUUUUUCCUGACUUUUUCUUUACAGACAAUUUACAUCAUACAAAAACAGAGACAAGGACACAACAACAUAGUCUCCAAAAGCCAGAGAAAAGAGCUGCAUAUGAGGAACCUGAGCUUGCCAUCCAGACCACCUGCGACAGCGUCAUCCUCAUCCUCUCCACCCUGGGCUUCCCUCAGCCCACUGUGCUGUGGAGAACCAAGACAGGAAGUGACAUCACCAACUGGAGCAACACCACUAUGGUCCUGAAAGAAGGGGGAGAACAUUAUGAGGUAGUGAGCGAGAUGGUGCUGAAGCAGAGUGACCCACACAAUUGGACUGUCACAUUUGAGAUGAGGCUGGAGCUCCUCAACCAGAGCUUCUCCCGCUCGGUCAGCCUCCGCCCACUCCCAGGUAGGGGGCAGAUAGUGCACAUACUGAGCAUAGGGUCACCCACACAAAUUCAAUGAAAACAUCUUUAAAAAUUCAAGAAUUCUUAUCUCACUCAAACACAACCACCAGCAAAACUCUAUCUGCAGCACUUUUUGCACAUACCGUUUUCAAAACUUAACACAAUUUGAUUUAUAUAUUUCUAUGUUUCAAAAGAUAUUUUUUGUUGCAAAUCAUCAACAUUUUUUGGGCAUAAAUUCAAGUCAAGAACUGUUUUUGCCGAAGUGCAAUGUAUUGAAAAUUCUCCAGUUUUGUUGUGCAGGCAAAAAAAUGCUGUGUUGUUUUAUGCACGCCAAAGAAAUUAUACACUGUUACAAACAAAAUGCCAUUAGCUAAAAUGCCUUUUAAUCAUCAGUUCAAUAACAUGCCCGGAGUCGAUUCUUUGAUGAGCUGAAGUUGAACUGAAUUUUCUUUCACACGGAUGGGGGUAACGCAUUUUAGGUGCAACUACGUUACAAAUACUGGUCCGAGAGGGUGGUACAUGGGUUCCAUGGGUUUUUCGAGAGAGCCUAUACCAAACAUAGAUACUAGAAUUUUUAUCCAUCUAUCUAUACAAAUAGAAAAUGAGGCUUAAGGGGUUAAUUGUCACGUUUCAGGUCUGUCUUGCCUUGUUUUAUGUUUAAUCAUUUUGUCUUAGUCACGUAUUGUCCUAUCAUGUAUUAUGUUAGUCUAGAUUCGUCAUGUUGUUUAGUUUAUUUCUUGUUCCGAUAAAUUGUCUUGUCAUGUCUAGUUAUGUUUUCGUUACGAUUAUUUUUACCUUGUUAUGUUGAGUGGUUAUCGUCUUAGUUCGUUUAAUGUUAUGUUUUGAUUUAUGUUUAUCGCUACGCGAACUGGUUGUUGUUUAAACAUACACCCUGAUACACAUUGAUACACACGUCUUUCCGCAAACCUUGCAUUCCGGCUUUCUCUCUCUCCCUUUCUGUCACUCACACCCUAAUUGUUUCGUUUGUCUAUUUACUAAAAUCUACUAAUGCUAGAUCAGCAUUGGGUAAUGCUAACAUACUAAUCAGGUGUUUAUGUUUCCUUACGUUUCUCGUGCAUGUCAUUUACUAAUUUACUAAUGCUAGGGCAGGAUAGGUUUAUUACUAACGAUUACUAAUUACCUUGUUAAACUUGUCAUCCAUCGCACCUGUUUUCCAUUUCCUUGCUGCUCUCUAACCUGUCUACACCUGUCUACACCCGCAUUUAUAGCCCAGUCGCACUUCGGUUCUUUGCAAAAUUGUCUGCCUCUUGUACGUCAAGGCAACGUUUGAGCAUUAUAGCCCAUUCAUUUCACGUUAAGAUCAAGCAUGUUUUUCGAUCACUGUUUAUUGAUUUCGGUUUCGUUGACCAUCGCUUGUGUUUGACUACGUCCUCGCCUACUGCUUUUGUACCUUUGCCUCGCUGUUUUGUUUAUGGUUUCGACUUCCGCAUCGCCCUCGACUACGACCCUGCCUGCCGCCCGCCCGUACUUCUGCCCCGCUGACAGCUCUCCUGCUACCGGACCUCCCUGCACGUCUACCGACU